GCAUGUAUAACUGUGAUACUGAGUUCUUUUUAGAUUCUAGGUAUUAAUCCUCUGUCAGAACCAUUUGUGGUCAAGAUUUUCUCUCAUUAUAUAACUUGUCUCUUUAUUUUGUUGAUUUUUCCCCUUGCUAUUCAGAAACUUUUAAAUUUGAUUUGUCCUGUUUAUUGAUUCUUGCUAUUAUUACCUGUGAUGUUGGAACCCUAGCCAACAAGUUUUUGCCAUUGUCUAUGUUUUCAUAUGUUUUCUCUUGGCAGAUUCAAAGUUUCCGGUCUUCACCUAGGUCUUCAAUCCAUUUGACUUCAUUUUUGUACAUGUUGAGAGACAAAGUUCUAGUUUCAGUCUUCUACAAGUGGCUAUCCAGAUUUCCCAGAACCUAAAGAGGUUGUAUUUUCCCCAGAAUAAAUUUUUGGCUUCUUUGUCCAGAAGCAGGUGGCCAUUGUUGCACAGAAUCAUAUAAAAAUGUUGAAAUGAAGACUAAUCUCGACUCAAAUUGAAAGGGAGGGGGUUUGUUCCCCCUGAAGUUUUUCCACUAUGGUAAGGAGAAGAAGGCAUAGUUCACUUAUAAAAGAUGCAGAAAUGACCAUUUAGAAAUUCCCAUUGAGAAAGAAAAUGAAAUGUAAAUUCCUUCUUGCUUAUUGGGAAGAGAGAAUGCGAAGUACACAGGUAAGCCACCCCUCCCCUCCUCCACAGCCUCGCCUGCAUUUCCCAGUGCCCAAUCCCCAGGUUCAGAAGUGUGCAAAAGCAGGCAGGUGCGUAGAAAACUUGUUUCACACCUGAUAUGUGCAUUGAUGGCCUGUUACAUUUUCUUUCUUUUAUAUACUCCAUGAAUAUUUCCCUCAUUUCCAAUUGUGGAUAAUUCUAUGCCCCUUAGAGAAGUCCUGGACUCAAACUGGUACUGCUGAUGCCAGUUAAAAACCUGGCAAUGUAUUUAAACUAGGAUUCUGGAGAGGCCAACAGAGUUGCACGCUCACGUGGCUUGGAGUCUCAGGAAGACAUUAUUUUUAUUCAGUAAAUGUUUACUGUAAUCACACACAAUGGAUGCUAAGUUAUAAAGGCAGAGGAACAAAAAGCAUAUCAGGUAGCUGAAUACAAAGAAAGCAUUACUGUGUUUAACAAGUUAAAUUGAAAUUUUUACAUUGUUUUCUUCUCUAAAAAGAAAACAUACUUUCAAAGUUCUUAUUGACUGCUAAUGUCUAAAAGAAAUCAGUUUUAGAAAAUAUAUUAUAUCCUAGUGAAUACCAAAAAGUCCACAGUUUUAUAGGCAACAAUUUUAUUGCAACAUACUAAAAUUAGCAGUUGUUAUGGAACUUUGCUAUGGGUUGCAGUAAUUUCCACAUGCCCCUCAGGGUUCAGGGUUUGAAGCUUGGUUCUCAGUGUAACAAUUUUGCGGCAGACCCCUGACAGGUCAGCUGGUGAGCACCCACAGGGUAUCGCCUUUGGAAAGGACUGGGGUAGUUCUCACUGGGUGCUGAGUUCUUUCAUAUGAGAGGAUUGCUGCAAAUGCAGGUCUGCCCUCCCUUCACCCUGGCUGCAGGUCUAGCCCUUCGCUUCUCCCAUCGUACAAACCACCAGGAGGCCUUCUUCAUCAGAGCCUAGCAGACGCCAGUGUGAAGCCCUUCAACCUCUAGAACUGUCAGCCACAUAAACCUCUUUUAAUAAAGUACCCAACCUUGGGUAUUUCACCAUAGUAAGAGAAAAUGGACUAAAAGUGUUUGAUAAGCACUUAAGCCAUACUCUUUCUGAGGGCGAAUACUGCUUAGAGUAAUCCACUAAAGCCAUAACAGUCACUUGUUUCUCUAUCUACUUUUGGACCAAUUGAAAUGUCAAAAUCUUCAUGAGUGGAAAUAAAGCAUCUAAGUCCUGAUGUAUUUUUAUUUUUCUCCUAUUUUUACAGCCUUUGGUUUAUUACACAUUUGUACUUUGAUAAAUUAUGAAAUCGCUCCUGUCUCAUGCACCAUGUCCUUUUAAGUGGCACAAACUGUCUCGUUUGUCCACUUCUUCCCAAAUUAGACGCUGCCUGGUGUAACUUCUCCCUUUUCAGUUGAA